UACGUAGGGCGCAAGCGUUGUCCGGAAUUAUUGGGCGUAAAGAGCUCGUAGGCAGUUUGUCGCGUCUGCUGUGAAAACCUAAGGCUCAACCUUGGGCUUGCAGUGGGUACGGGCAGACUAGAGUGCGGUAGGGGUGACUGGAAUUCCUGGUGUAGCGGUGGAAUGCGCAGAUAUCAGGAGGAACACCGAUGGCGAAGGCAGGUCACUGGGCCGCAACUGACGCUGAGGAGCGAAAGCAUGGGGAGCGAACAGG
rnacentral:rRNA from 1 species